rnacentral:rRNA from 1 species
AGAGUUUGAUCAUGGCUCAGAAUGAACGCUGGCGGCAUGGAUUAGGCAUGCAAGUCGAACGGUCCUGCUCGCAGGAUAGUGGCGAAGGGGUGAGUAACGCGUGAGUAACCUGCCCUGAGGUUGGGGAUAGCCCCGCGAAAGUGGGAUUAAUACCGAAUGUGGCGUUUUGCUGCAAGGAAAAAUUGCUAAAGGAGUGAUCCGCCUUAGGAUGGACUCGCGUCCUAUUAGCUGGUUGGUGGGGUAAUGGCCCACCAAGGCUACGACAGGUAGGUGGUCUGAGAGGAUGGUCACCCACACUGGGACUGAGACACUGCCCAGACUCCUACGGGAGGCUGCAGUCGAGAAUCUUCCGCAAUGAGCGCAAGCUUGACGGAGCGAUGCCGCGUGAGGGAUGAAGGCUUUCGGGUCGUAAACCUCUGUCACCCGGAACGA